AGCUCCAAUAGCGUAUAUUAAAGUUGUUGCGGUUAAAAAGCUCGUAGUUGGAUUUCUGUUGAGGACAGCCGGUCCGUACUUUGUACGUGUAUCUGGUUUGGCCUUGGCAUCCUCAUAGAGUACGCCGCUGCGCUUGAUUGCGUGGCGCGGAAUCUAUGACUUUUACUUUGAGGAAAUUAGAGUGUUCACGGCAGGCUUUCGCCAUGAAUAUAUUAGCAUGGAAUAAUAAUAUAGGACGUCAAUCCUAUUUUGUUGGUUUCUAGGAAUGACGUAAUGAUUAAUAGGGUCAAUUGGGGGCAUUCGUAUUAACACGUCAGAGGUGAAAUUCUUGGAUUGUGUUACGACGAACUACUGCGAAAGCAUUUGCCAAGGAUGUUUUCA
rnacentral:rRNA from 1 species